ensembl:lncRNA novel transcript
ACUUCUCCCUGCUGCCACCUUGUGAAGAAAGUGCCUUGCUUCCCCUUUGCCUACCACCAUGAUAACCAAUUUUCUUUGCGUAUGCCCUUGGAGUUAUUAGCUCAAAGAAUAGAUUUCUCUUGGCCCACCUGGAAGCCUUCUCUUUUCCUAACUGAUGACUUUGGAUUAUACAACUUUACCUACUGUUAAAAGUACACAGAUGAAAAGAGUAAAGGGUAUUUGACUGACGAGUGAACAUGAGCUCAAAGCCAGAGUCCAAAGUGCCUCAUCUGUUGGAUGACAGUGCUUGGAAGCCCUGCCAAUGAAAUGGCCACUGCAGAGUGUUUGUCUCCUAAUGCAUGUAGAUGAUCAGCGGGCCACAUAGAAUACGCAAUGGAAAAUGCUGAGCUGUGUCACAGGACUGAACAUACCAGCUGCCAUUCAUAAAACAUGCCACUUAGGAGCAAACAACUUUUCAGAAGAAACAAUAUGACACAAGGGGAGAGUAAAUGGGAUACCGUCUUUCUUCGGAUGAAAACUAUUUCUCUUAUUAAACUCUUUCCACUAAGGCAAGCCUUAUAUGG